AUCGAACGCUGGCGGCAGGCCUAACACAUGCAAGUCGAGCGAGCGGCGGACGGGUGAGUAAUGUAUGGGGACUGCCCGUUAGAGGGGGAUCACUACUGGAAACGGUUGCUAAUACCGCAUACUAUCCGAUCCCCCAUCUGGGAUUAGCUAGUACGUGAGGUAAUUGCUCACCUAGUCGACGAUCCCGAGCUGGGCUGAGAGGUUGAUCAGCCACACUGGGACUGAGACACGGCCCAGAGUCCAACGGAGGCAGCAGUAGGGAAUAUUGCGCAAGGGGCGCAAGCCUGAUGCAGCCAUGCCGCGUGUAUGAAGAAGGCCAUCGGGGUGUAAAGUACUUUCAGUCGGGAGGCGUUACCGAAAGAAGAAGCACCGGCUAACUCCGUGCCAGCAGCCGCGGUAAUUC
rnacentral:rRNA from 1 species